AACGAACGCUGGCGGCAUGCCUAACACAUGCAAGUCGAACGAGACCUUCGGGUCUAGUGGCGCACGGGUGCGUAACGCGUGGGAACCUGCCCUUAGGUUCGGAAUAAUUCCCCGAAAGGGGUGCUAAUACCGGAUAAUGUCUUCGGACCCAAGAUUUAUCGCCUUUGGAUGGGCCCGCGUUGGAUUAGCUAGUUGGUAGGGUAAAAGCCUACCAAGGCGACGAUCCAUAGCUGGUCUGAGAGGAUGAUCAGCCACACUGGGACUGAGACACGGCCCAGACUCCUACGGAAGGCAGCAGUGGGGAAUAUUGGACAACGGGCGAAAGCAUGAUCCAGCAAGGCCGCGUGAGUGAUGAAGGCCUUAGGGUUGUAAAGCUCUUUUACCCGGGAUGAUAAUGACAGUACCGGGAGAAUAAGCGCCGGCUAACUCCGUG
rnacentral:rRNA from 1 species